rnacentral:misc_RNA from 1 species
GUUAAUCUACACCCUAAAUUGCAUUUACUUGAUGUUUUACAUAUACCAAAAUUCAAAUACAACCUCUUGUCUGUAAGCAAGUUAACCCAAACUUCAAAAAUUAUUGUUAAAUUCUUUCACGAUUGUUGUAUCUUGCAGGACCAAGUGUCUAAUGAGGUAUUGGCUACUGGGAAGUUGCAAGGUGGAUUAUACAAGUUGAAUAAGGCAUCAUUUAGCCAUAAUAAAACCUCUGUUCCACCUAGUUUUAUACCAAAACCUAUAUGUACUCAU